rnacentral:rRNA from 1 species
UACGUAGGGCGCAAGCGUUAUCCGGAAUUAUUGGGCGUAAAGAGCUCGUAGGCGGUUUGUCGCGUCUGCCGUGAAAGUCCGGGGCUCAACUCCGGAUCUGCGGUGGGUACGGGCAGACUAGAGUGAUGUAGGGGAGACUGGAAUUCCUGGUGUAGCGGUAGAAAUGCGCAGAUAUCAGGAGGAACACCGAUGGCGAAGGCAGGUCUCGUGGGCAUUAACUGACGCUGAGGAGCGAAAGCAUGGGGAGCGAACAGG